GUAACGGCUCACCUAGGCGACGAUCCCUAGCUGGUCUGAGAGGAUGACCAGCCACACUGGAACUGAGACACGGUCCAGACUCCUACGGGAGGCAGCAGUGGGGAAUAUUGCACAAUGGGCGCAAGCCUGAUGCAGCCAUGCCGCGUGUAUGAAGAAGGCCUUCGGGUUGUAAAGUACUUUCAGCGGGGAGGAAGGCGUUGAGGUUAAUAACCUCAGCGAUUGACGUUACCCGCAGAAGAAGCACCGGCUAACUCCGUGCCAGCAGCCGCGGUAAUACGGAGGGUGCAAGCGUUAAUCGGAAUUACUGGGCGUAAAGCGCACGCAGGCGGUCUGUCAAGUCGGAUGUGAAAUCCCCGGGCUCAACCUGGGAACUGCAUUCGAAACUGGCAGGCUAGAGUCUUGUAGAGGGGGGUAGAAUUCCAGGUGUAGCGGUGAAAUGCGUAGAGAUCUGGAGGAAUACCGGUGGCGAAGGCGGCCCCCUGGACAAAGACUGACGCUCAGGUGCGAAAGCGUGGGGAGCAAACAGGAUUAGAUACCCUGGUAGCCCACGCCGUAAACGAUGUCGACCUGGAGGUUGUGCCCUUGAGGCGUGGCUUCCGGAGCUAACGCGUUAAGUCGACCGCCUGGGGANGNUANCNGGCCGCAAGGUUAAAACUCAAAUGAAUUGACGGGGGCCCGCACAAGCGGUGGAGCAUGUGGUUUAAUUCGAUGCAACGCGAAGAACCUUACCUACUCUUGACAUCCAGAGAACUUUCCAGAGAUGGAUUGGUGCCUUCGGGAACUCUGAGACAGGUGCUGCAUGGCUGUCGUCAGCUCGUGUUGUGAAAUGUUGGGUUAAGUCCCGCAACGAGCGCAACCCUUAUCCUUUGUUGCCAGCGGUUAGGCCGGGAACUCAAAGGAGACUGCCAGUGAUAAACUGGAGGAAGGUGGGGAUGACGUCAAAUCAUCAUGGCCCUUACGAGUAGGGCUACACACGUGCUACAAUGGCGCAUACAAAGAGAAGCGACCUCGCGAGAGCAAGCGGACCUCAUAAAGUGCGUCGUAGUCCGGAUUGGAGUCUGCAACUCGACUCCAUGAAGUCGGAAUCGCUAGUAAUCGUAGAUCAGAAUGCUACGGUGAAUACGUUCCCGGGCCUUGUACACACCGCCCGUCACACCA
rnacentral:rRNA from 1 species